GAUGAACGCUGGCGGCGUGCCUAAUACAUGCAAGUCGAGCGAGCGGACGAGAAGCUUGCUUCUCUGAUGUUAGCGGCGGACGGGUGAGUAACACGUGGAUAACCUACCUAUAAGACUGUGAUAACUUCGGGAAACCGGAGCUAAUACCGGAUAAUAUUUUGAACCGCAUUGUUCAAAAGUAAAAUACGGUCGUUCUGUCACUUAUAGCUGGACCCGCGCUGCAUUAGCUAGUUGGUAAGGUAACGGCUUAACAAGGCAACGAUGGAUAGCCGACCUGAGAGGGUGGUCGGCCACACUGGAAGUGAGACACGGUCCACACUCCUGCGGGAGGCCGCAGUAGGGAAUCUUACGCAAUGGGGGAAAACCUGACAGAGCAACGUCGCGUGAGUGAUGAAGGUCUUCGGAUCGUAAAACUCUGUUAGUAGGGAAGAACAUAUGUGCAAGUAACUGUGCACAUCUUGACGGUACCUAAUCAGAAAGCCACGGCUAACUACGUG
rnacentral:rRNA from 1 species